rnacentral:rRNA from 1 species
AACGCUAGCGGCAGGCCUAAUACAUGCAAGUCGAACGAUAUUAAGGGGCUUGCUCCUUAAGAAAGUGGCGCACGGGUGCGUAACGCGUAUGCAACCUACCUUAAUCUGGGGGAUAGCCCGGAGAAAUCCGGAUUAAUACCGCAUAAAAUCACAGGAUGGCAUUAUCCAAUGAUCAAACAUUUAUGGGAUUGAGAUGGGCAUGCGUGUCAUUAGCUAGUUGGCGGGGUAACGGCCCACCAAGGCGACGAUGACUAGGGGAUCUGAGAGGAUGGCCCCCCACACUGGUACUGAGACACGGACCAGACUCCUACGGGAGGCAGCAGUAAGGAAUAUUGGUCAAUGGAGGCAACUCUGAACCAGCCAUGCCGCGUGCAGGAAGACUGCCCUAUGGGUUGUAAACUGCUUUUAUCCGGGAAUAAACCUAAGUACGUGUACUUAGCUGAAUGUACCGGAAG